rnacentral:rRNA from 1 species
GACGAACGCUGGCGGCGUGCCUAAUACAUGCAAGUUGAGCGAUGAAGAUUGGUGCUUGCCCCAAUUUGAAGAGCAGCGAACGGGUGAGUAACGCGUGGGGAAUCUGCCUUUGAGCGGGGGACAACAUUUGGAAACGAAUGCUAAUACCGCAUAACAACUUUAAACAUAAGUUUUAAGUUUGAAAGAUGCAAUUGCAUCACUCAAAGAUGAUCCCGCGUUGUAUUAGCUAGUUGGUGAGGUAAAGGCUCACCAAGGCGAUGAUACAUAGCCGACCUGAGAGGGUGAUCGGCCACAUUGGGACUGAGACACGGCCCAAACUCCUACGGGAGGCAGCAGUAGGGAAUCUUCGGCAAUGGACGAAAGUCUGACCGAGCAACGCCGCGUGAGUGAAGAAGGUUUUCGGAUCGUAAAACUCUGUUGGUAGAGAAGAACGUUGGUGAGAGUGGAAAGCUCAUCAAGUGACGGUAACUACCCAGAAAGGGACGGCUAACUACGUGC